rnacentral:lncRNA from 1 species
CGCGUGCUGUCUAGAGCCUGAAGUAGACUGGCUAGGGUACAUAUCUUGCAAACUCGGCUCGGCUAUCUCUUGGGGGUGAGAGUGCUGAAUGAUGGUCAAUCGGGUAGCUGUCAUAUACCUCUGCAAAUAUCCGUUGAAUAGAUCGAGAUCAAAGGCCGCCAAUGGCCAAACCUGUGUCGUCGCAGUCUCCCACUCUGUGACAUACGACUGAACCCUCUGCAGCCACUGAGUCUGGGUCUUGGUACUUCCCUUCCUGGUAAAUCUGAGAUCGCAAUAGAAAGUUGAACAAUUAAAUUAUGGACAAUUCUGGACGACAAUCAUAAAUUGGAGAACUGCACAUACCUGUGGACGACCUGUGGAAGUGGAUCCUCCGUCGGUGGAGGAACGACCAACUGGCGUGCCCCAAACUGCCUCUUGACCCUCUGCUG